rnacentral:rRNA from 1 species
UACGUAGGGUGCAAGCGUUAAUCGGAAUUACUGGGCGUAAAGCGUGCGCAGGCGGUGAUGUAAGACAGGUGUGAAAUCCCCGGGCUUAACCUGGGAAUGGCAUUUGGGACUGCAAGGCUCGAGUGCGGCAGAGGAGACUGGAAUUCCUGGUGUAGCAGUGAAAUGCGUAGAUAUCAGGAGGAACACCGAUGGCGAAGGCAGGUCUCUGGGCUGACACUGACGCUCAUGCACGAAAGCGUGGGGAGCAAACAGG